GAUGAACGCUGGCGGCGUGCCUAAUACAUGCAAGUCGAGCGAACAGACGAGGAGCUUGCUCCUCUGACGUUAGCGGCGGACGGGUGAGUAACACGUGGAUAACCUACCUAUAAGACUGGGAUAACUUCGGGAAACCGGAGCUAAUACCGGAUAAUAUAUUGAACCGCAUGGUUCAAUAGUGAAAGACGGUUUUGCUGUCACUUAUAGAUGGAUCCGCGCCGCAUUAGCUAGUUGGUAAGGUAACGGCUUACCAAGGCAACGAUGCGUAGCCGACCUGAGAGGGUGAUCGGCCACACUGGAACUGAGACACGGUCCAGACUCCUACGGGAGGCAGCAGUAGGGAAUCUUCCGCAAUGGGCGAAAGCCUGACGGAGCAACGCCGCGUGAGUGAUGAAGGUCUUCGGAUUGUAAAACUCUGUUAUUAGGGAAGAACAAAUGUGUAAGUAACUAUGCACGUCUGGACGGUACCUAAUCAGAAAGCCACGGCUAACUACGU
rnacentral:rRNA from 1 species